UCUUUGAAAUACACGUACUACUCGUUUUCGCCAGCUGAGUGGACUGGAGUAACGUGAAAAUAAAGGAUCUUGCUCAAACUACUAUUAUUACCACUACUAUUACACCAAAUGGUACAGAACCAUUCCACACUAUGAUUACCAUUCCACGAGGUUAAACACUCUCUGCCAAUGGAUCACAGUGAACUGCUUGUCCUGAACUGCAGAGAGUUCUUUAUUUUAUACCAUUGUGCCAAUCCACUUUUAGUCACAUGGGGGAUGGUCAGUAUCCUUCCAUGACAAAUUCGUUAUUGAACACAGUGCUCCCACUGACUGAAAGAAGUAAAACGGUAAAAAGAUAUUGAAGAAAAUACUUAAUCCAAUUAAUUAACUGUUUUUGUUUGUUAAUUCUUUGUAGGCGCUCGAUAUCCCGGAACUGGAGUCUGAAGAACCAUUGAAGCGAGCCGAGCAGAACCUUCUCAAGUCCCCAACGCCGGUCAAAAUCAACCAAUCAUCAAGCAUUAGCACACUGACACAAUCCCUAAAAGCUGCCUUCAGUGAGAGAAACCUCUUCCCAAGAUAUGUCAUUGAGACCGAGCAAAAAAUGAAGUUACAACACCAGGAAAUUCUUCAACAGGGAGCAACUAAUGAACAACACGAGAGCAAGUCUGGCAAAAUGCCAAAGCAAGUGUCCAGUAAAGUAGCCAGCAAGGGCCGGUCACAAUACCCGAGAGUUUGGCAAGGCCAGGUGAAGCUGACCAAACUCAAGACAGUUGUUGCUUUCUCAAAGAAAAGACCAAAAACAAAAAAAGGCACCAAGAAGUUAGAAGAUUAGAUUAAUUUAGAUUAAUUUGAAGAAGACACAAUAUAUAUAAUAUUUAAAACAAUUUGAUCCGGUUACAUGCGACUAAAUGUUUAGCUGGUCUCUACAGAAGCUCAUCUCUUUCAGGCUUUGGAUUACCUCAUGGAACUGAAUCAAACUAUUCUGAAUAGUACAUAAUAGAACUCCUACAAAAUAUGUUGAGUGCCUUUUUUCUUUCGUUUGUCCACCUGUUAGCGAUUUCUUUUUCUUCUUGGGACUUUUCCCCCUCUCCUUUCCAACAAAGAGCUCAGCUCAAAACGUAAAACUCUCCCUUUUCACCAAGCCUCAUGAUAAUACAUUUCUUGUCCAUGUCCUCUUGUUUUCCAUUAGUUUAAAUCAUUUAUUUUAAUUGAUUAUAUAUAUAUAUAUAUACACAUACAUUCUUCAAAUCUAAAGAAUCUAUCAGAGUAGAUGAAAGUGCUAAAAUAUGAUUU
rnacentral:lncRNA from 1 species